rnacentral:snRNA from 1 species
GGAUGUGAGGACGAUCUGGCUGUGACGUCUGUCACCCCAUUGAUCACCAGGGUUGAUUUGACUGAUCUGGCUGGCUAGGCAGGUGUCCCCUUCCUCCCUCAACGCUCCACGUGCGUCCCUCCCAAAGCUGCACACUCGGUCGAAGAGGAUGGCCUUCCCUGAUAGAGGAGGACGGUCUUUGGUCAAGCAUAUAUGAAUAGCUGCGCUCCCCUGCUAGAACCUCCAAACAAGCUCUCAAGGAUGUGACUCUUAGACUAACCAGGCUCCAGUGGAUUGGACCCACACUGAAGUACACAAAUUAAACUGUAUAGGCCUU